CUAAGCUAAUAAUUCUGGCUCUGCAAUGAAUUGUUUUCUAAAUAACAUAAGUCCUUGCAGUCGGCUCUGAGCAGUGCCAGAGUUCUUCGGGGAGUUAUUCUAAACUCUAGUCCUCAGCAAAGUAAGCUUUCCUACAGCCAAGUAUUAGAGUUAACCUCCAAGCUUUAUUUUUAUCUACAGUUUUCUUGGCAAAUCAUGAAGAUUAUGUUUGGCAUUUUAUUUCUAGCUACAACCUUCUAUCUUUGGUUUGUGUUACACUUCGCAGAGCUUAGAGCUUAUACAGGGUUUUGGGUGUGUGAUAUAGAUUCUAAUAAGUUUCUAUAUGACCUACUUUAGAAGCUUAAACAAAGAAAGCCACAUCCUGUGCUGGAAGAUUGGAGCAGAGCUUUGCUGAAGCGAUGUUAGUAUUGAAUAAAUGAUGAUUUUUUAAUAUUGUUUUGUUUUUCUUUCAAAUAAAACUGUAAUAGAGAAGAAGGCGAAGAGCUAAUUUAUUAUUGAACUGCAACACACCAGUAACACUGAAAUAUCUUGGAGAAUGUAUCCUGAACAAUGAGCCCAAACCAGGCAUGUGUCCUGCCAUGAGUACCUGGCGGAGGAGAACAGACAGACCAAAGAUUAUGGCUGCUGCAGAGCAAAAUGAUGUGAAGGUGAAAUGUCACUAAGGCCUUUUCUGCUGAUACACUGAAACUGAAACAAAUUUCCCUACACUUAAAGUUGUUAUUGAAAGCUAUAAUUCCUCAAACACAACAGAUUUAAGAUGUGUAUUUAUCUUCAUGCGGGAGAACAAAGAAACAUAAGGAUAAUCGAUCUUUUAGAGACAAGAGAAAGGAGGAGAGAAAAUGAAAGGGAAGUGAUUUUAUUUCCUAAGAAACCUGCCUUGACUUGCUGUACGCCUUUCAAAUCUACUUUACUCAUCUAAACCUGUAAUGAUUGAAGUAAGUGACUGUAAGAAUGGUGACAUCACUGUUUUGUUUACACUGAAAUGUCUUUUGAGGGCAUCACAACAGAGAUGGUUUAAGGACAGGUAUUGAUUGUGCUUCAUCUUUGGAAUUUGGUAAUUAUGAUGGUAUACCUCAAACAUGCUGCACUUGUCCUAUAGUCUGCCUUUUUUUCCUGAGCUUUAGAUUAUAAUCUCCUCAGGCCUGUGAUUAUUUCUUCAUAAGCAUUUAAAAACCACAUAGAACAAUAAAUCUCCAGCAAAGAUACAAGAAUAACUCAGCUCUUUGACCAUACUAAUAUACAAUAAAUAUUUAGUCGCAAUUUUUGCAGGUUGCUUUUGGUUUUUAUUUGAUCCUAUUGUCCAUAUGCCUUCUAAGAUGGUAUGGUAUUCAUUUGCACAGUUGCCUAAGUUUUUGUUUGUUUUGUUUAGUUACAACACCAUUGUUACUGCAUUCAACACACAUAUAUGAGAGUUUUAAUGAGAGUGUUGAGAGCUUCAAUUAAUCUUCCAUAUCAUAUCCAGUUUUAGACACCUUCAACUCAUAAUUUUUUUGAGUGUU